rnacentral:rRNA from 1 species
AGCAGCCGCGGUAAUUCCAGCUCCAAUAGCGUAUAUUAAAGUUGUUGCAGUUAAAAAGCUCGUAGUUGAAUUUCGGGAUCAAUACGUCGGUCGUGCUUUCGGGUACGUACUGGCGUCAUUGGUUUCUCCUUUCUGACGAACCAUGAUGUCAUUAAUUUGGUGUUAUGGGGAGUUAGGACUGUUACUUUGAAAAAUUGAGUGUUUAAAGCAGGCAUUAGCUUGAAUACAUUAGCAUGGAAUAAUGAAAUAGGACGUUCGAUCCUAUUUUGUGGUUUCUAGGAUCAACGUAAUGAUUAAUAGGGAUAGUUGGGGCAUUAGUAUUCAAUUGUCAGAGGUGAAAUUCUUGGAUUUAUUGAAGACUAACUACUGCGAAAGCAUUUGCCAAGGAUGUCUUCAUUAAUACAAGAACGAAAGUUAGGGGAUCGAAGACGAUCAGAUACCGUCGUAGUCUUAACCAUAAACUAUAG